AUGUAUCUAAAAUUAGAUAUUACAAUUCUUUUUAUUCUAAGAAAAAUACCACGCAAGUAGGUAUGACAGUAGGACGGGGGCGUAUUUUGCCUCCUCAAUCGCCACACUGACUAAUCGGAAAAAACUCGUAUCACCGCAGUUUUAUAGUGGGUAUGAAGUUUAGGCUCCGUCCCUGCCCGCAAUGGAGUUUGAGUUUUCCGCUCGCACCUGCACUCAUUCAUAUAUAUAAACUUAUAAAUUUAAAAACCAUAUCUAUUAUAAUUAAUAUAAUAAAAUAAUUAUUAUUAGAUAAUAAUCAAAUUAGAAAAUAUUUUCUAUAGAGAUAAAAUUAUAAUUUUUAAUAUUCAAAAAAAUAUUAAAUAUAUUAAAUAUGUAUAUGUAUAUAAAAUUUAAAAAUUACAAUAAUAUUACUUGCGAGGCAGGUUCAGAUGCGGGGUGGAUAUCACCACCCCAAAUUUUAAUUUCAUGAAAAAUACAUAAUCGCACCCAAUCAAAAUGGAGUUUCAAACAAAUCUAAAUGGGUAGUCGCGAGUUAUGUUAUAAUCUCUAGAUACAAAUUUGAUUGUAUCAAUUACACCCUUUACAAAAUAGAGGAGAUGAAUUUAUUAUUUAGACACAUAUAUACAUAUAAAAGAUGCGUGCCAUAUAAAAGGCCCAAAGAAAGUGAAUGCAAUUUCUAUGACAAAUUUGAGUGAUGGGUGUUUGUUUUAAAAAGUAAAUAGAAUGCCGUAUGGUUUAUUUAAGCAUAUCCCUCAGAUGUGAGAGCAAAUUCCUUUUUCUAAAAGACAAAGAACAACGGCAAACUGAAAAGAUAGAUAGAGAAUUCAAGUUGAAAAUAAAAAAGAAGAAUUCUCUCAGUGGGUUUUGAGGAAAAGAUGUGACAAAAAUCUUUUGUCAUUCUACAAGUGGUUGUUGCCUUGUUGGGAGGAUAAAAAGGUUUUGGGAUAUAUAUAUAUUUUGUUCUGCCACAAGUGGUUGUUCAGAGGAUAAAAAGGUUUUACAAUGAUGAUUUGGAUUCCAGGUGUG
rnacentral:lncRNA from 1 species